rnacentral:rRNA from 1 species
CGAACGAAGCCUUCGGGCUUAGUGGCGCACGGGUGCGUAACGCGUGGGAAUCUGCCCUUGGGUUCGGAAUAACACAGAGAAAUUUGUGCUAAUACCGGAUGAUGUCUUCGGACCAAAGAUUUAUCGCCCAAGGAUGAGCCCGCGUUAGAUUAGGUAGUUGGUGGGGUAAUGGCCUACCAAGCCGACGAUCUAUAGCUGGUCUGAGAGGAUGAUCAGCCACACUGGGACUGAGACACGGCCCAGACUCCUACGGGAGGCAGCAGUGGGGAAUAUUGGACAAUGGGCGAAAGCCUGAUCCAGCAAUGCCGCGUGAGUGAUGAAGGCCUUAGGGUUGUAAAGCUCUUUUACCCGAGAUGAUAAUGACAGUAUCGGGAGAAUAAGCUCCGGCUAACUCCGUGCCAGCAGCCGCGGUAAUACGGAGGGAGCUAGCGUUGUUCGGAAUUACUGGGCGUAAAGCGCACGUAGGCGGCUUUUUAAGUCAGGGGUGAAAUCCCGGGGCUCAGCCCCGGAACUGCCCUUGAAACUGGAUGGCUAGAAUACUGGAGAGGUGAGUGGAAUUCCGAGUGUAGAGGUGAAAUUCGUAGAUAUUCGGAAGAACACCAGUGGCGAAGGCGACUCACUGGACAGUUA